AUUGAACGCUGGCGGCAGGCCUAACACAUGCAAGUCGAGCGGAUGAAGGGAGCUUGCUCCUGGAUUCAGCGGCGGACGGGUGAGUAAUGCCUAGGAAUCUGCCUGGUAGUGGGGGAUAACGUCCGGAAACGGGCGCUAAUACCGCAUACGUCCUGAGGGUGAAAGUGGGGGAUCUUCGGACCUCACGCUAUCAGAUGAGCCUAGGUCGGAUUAGCUAGUUGGUGGGGUAAAGGCCUACCAAGGCGACGAUCCGUAACUGGUCUGAGAGGAUGAUCAGUCACACUGGAACUGAGACACGGUCCAGACUCCUACGGGAGGCAGCAGUGGGGAAUAUUGGACAAUGGGCGAAAGCCUGAUCCAGCCAUGCCGCGUGUGUGAAGAAGGUCUUCGGAUUGUAAAGCACUUUAAGUUGGGAGGAAGGGCAGUAAGUUAAAACCUUGCUGUUUUGACGUUACCAACAGAAUAAGCACCGGCUAACUUCGUG
rnacentral:rRNA from 1 species